rnacentral:lncRNA from 1 species
CCAUCCCUUCUCGCCAGCAACCUAUAUAUCCUUUCCUCUCCCCUUCCUCCACACUCUCUUCUCCUUCUUGUCCUCCUCUUCUUCUCUUUCAAUUCAUUUCUUGUUAGUAGCCCUUCUCCUCUUCUCUCCUUCCUUCUCAUCCAUUUUUUCUUCUCAUCUUCUUCCUCCUCCAAGCCCACCCAUGAGCAAGAGACAUUUUCAUCUAUUAAGAGAAAAAGCUAAUAUCAUUUGUUAGUAAAAUAAAUAGUUAGAUUAUAUUGAAAUAUAUCAAUAACUAGAAGGAUCAACUUGACACUUUUUAAAGUAUAAAAAUGUAAAUGAAAUUGGACUAAAGUUGAGGGGGUGUUUCUAUAAUUUUUUCUUGAAAUUUUCUGUUUGAGAGAGAUAGAGAGGAGGGGGGAGAGAGAGAGA